GGCCAUCUGUAACGUUGAGUCGGUAAUAAAUAUUGUUUUUAAGUUAAUCGAAUCGAAUAAAAAUUCGAUCGAAUCAAGUUUAAAAAAAUUCUUACCACGCUUGCUUGCAUAUUAAUAUUAUCAUAGAAUUUUUCAUUGUCUACGAUCAUGCAUAAAAAUAAUUAUGCAUAAAAAUAAUAUGUUAAACUCUACACCGUUUACGAAUUUUUCAAAUUUAAAAUCUACUAUUACCAGGAAAUUGUCUACAAACAUUCAACUAGAACAAAGGGAUCUAUCUCCACGAUUUAAAAAGGAAGGGGUACCAAUAUUUUCAAUCUACAAACAAAAUAUCGAAAAACUACACAAAUUUCUACUCGCUACAAAAAAAAAAAAAAAAAAGAAGAAAAAGAAAAUUCUCGAGGAAAAUCUGAUCGAUCCUACAACAAACAAUGCUCAAAACAACAACGAGGGAAGAAAAUUUAUUCUAAAAGUUUUCUCAAUUGUUCAAAUUUCCAUCAUCCUCAAAUCGAUCAUAUAAAUAGCUCCACAGCGCAAUGCCUAAGCGAAACCAAAGCCAAAUCGAAUUUCUUUUUUUUUUUCCAGUAUAAUCGAAUUUUUCACCGCAAUGCAAAGAAAUUUUAUCGGUAAUGUUAACCUUUAACCCCUUCUGGAUCAUAGCGCAAAAAAGAAAACUAAGCGAACUCGUUGGUCAACAAGGAGGUUAAUGAACCAUCAAACUUACCACACAGGUUUCCACAUCGAACAUUAUCGCGUUUCGCGUGUACACAGAUGGGUAAAUAGCGCAUAAAAAUCUGCAGUCUGAAAAUCUGUCGUCAGAAUUUAAGACUGACCGCGUAGAUAGGGUAUAUCUCCAGAUCGUUCCAAAUUAAUUUGUGCCUCGAGGAAGAGAGCAUCGAAACGAUUGAG